AUAGAGGAUGGUGGUCCGGGGGUAGGGGCUGUAGGCAGGGCAGGCCGACUGCUGGCUGAGCAGAUUUCAUUAAGGGUAUGUAUUUUUUAAAUGUAUCCCCCCAUGAGAAGGGGGAUAAAAAUCGAAGAUCCCACCUGUAGGUUCAAAUAUACAUGUGGCACAGGGCCAUUUCAGGGUGACUUUCAGGCCCAACUGCAUGAAUACUGUACUCUUUGCCACACACAGAGAUCCAUGAAGAAGGCAUUUGUAUGCCUUUGACCACCUUCAGACAGGCUUUAGGUUUGAAAAAGAUUGGUGAUUGUGGUGGUUUUCCUCUGCAUCAGUGUGGCCCCACAGAGAAUCGGGUUUCCCAAGACAGCCUCCAUAAAGAGCAGAGCUCCAGUGAGGCCUGAGGGAGCAAAGCAGCAAGACCGCCCAUCUGCCCGUUGCUUCAGGAGGGACCAACAACUUCCUCCAGCCACCCCCUCAGGCUCCUUGCUUCCCUGGCUUCUCAAUUGUGUAAUGUGUAUCGGAAGAAUGACACCCAGGAGAGGAAAGGUGUCAUGAUGCCGGUUCAGCCCAGCCAAAGGCUGGGAGAGCUCGUGAGCAAUGAGAGGAGAAGCCAGGACCCGCAUGUGUGACCAGCCAUCAGCAGAUGCAGGGACAACACGGAGGGGACAGAGACAGCCGCUCUGCCACGAGCCUCCCGUCUGCUGCUGGAACACGUCAAUGGUGUCCUCGUCCUCCAUCUCCAGCUGACCGGGUCGUCGGGACCGGCGCGGUGAGAG